ACAGUGGACGCGAGCAUCUUUGUUGUAAGUGUUUAAGAGCGUACGGUGGAUGCCUUGGCACCAGGAGCCGAUGAAGGACGUAGGAGGCUGCGAUAAGCCUCGGGGAGCUGUCAACCGAGCUGAGAUCCGAGGAUGUCCGAAUGGGGAAACCCAGCCACAGUGAUGUGUGGUUACCCGCGCCUGAAUAUAUAGGGCGUGUGGAGGGAACGUGGGGAAGUGAAACAUCUCAGUACCCACAGGAAGAGAAAACAACAUGUGAUUCCGUGAGUAGUGGCGAGCGAAAGCGGAAGAGGCUAAACCAUGGGUGUGUGAUAGCCGGCGGGCGUUGCAUUCGUGGGGUUGUGGGAUCCGUCUUGUCAAUUCUGCCGGAUUGGCCGACAGUGAGAAAUCAUCGUGUUAGUCGAAGUGGUCUGGAACGGCCUGUCGUAGAGGGUGAGAGUCCCGUAGACGAAAACAUGGUGACUGUCGUGACGGACACCCGAGUAGCAGCGGGCCCGUGAAAUCUGCUGUGAAUCUGUCGGGACCACCCGAUAAGCCUGAAUACUCCCUGGUGACCGAUAGCGGACUAGUACCGUGAGGGAAAGGUGAAAAGUACCCCGGGAGGGGAGUGAAAUAGUACCUGAAACCGUGCGCUUACAAUCCGUCAGAGCCUGCGCCACUUCGGUGGGUGGGUGAUGGCGUGCCUUUUGAAGAAUGAGCCUGCGAGUUAGCGGCAUGUCGCGAGGUUAACCCGUGUGGGGUAGCCGUAGCGAAAGCGAGUCCGAAUAGGGCGUUUGUAGUGGCAUGUUCUAGACCCGAAGCGGAGUGAUCUACCCAUGGCCAGGGUGAAGCGACGGUAAGACGUCGUGGAGGCCCGAACCCACUUAGGUUGAAAACUGAGGGGAUGAGCUGUGGGUAGGGGUGAAAGGCCAAUCAAACUCCGUGAUAGCUGGUUCUCCCCGAAAUGCAUUUAGGUGCAGCGUCGCGUGUUUCACUCUGGAGGUAGAGCUACUGGAUGGCCGAUGGGCCCCACAAGGUUACUGACGUCAGCCAAACUCCGAAUGCCAGAGUGUGAGAGCGCGGCAGUGAGACUGCGGGGGAUAAGCUUCGUAGUCGAGAGGGAAACAGCCCAGAUCGCCGGCUAAGGCCCCUAAGCGUGUACUAAGUGGAAAAGGAUGUGGGGUCGCGAAGACAACCAGGAGGUUGGCUUAGAAGCAGCCACCCUUGAAAGAGUGCGUAAUAGCUCACUGGUCAAGUGAUCCUGCGCCGACAAUGUAGCGGGGCUCAAGUACACCGCCGAAGCCGCGGCAUUCACAUAACACCCAUGCGGGUCUACGGGCCUGUGUGCAGUGGUGUGGAUGGGUAGGGGAGCGUCGUGCAGCCAUGGAAGCGCCGGAGUGAUCCAGGUGUGGAGGCUGCACGAGUGAGAAUGCAGGCAUGAGUAGCGAAAGACGAGUGAGAAACUCGUCCGCCGAAUGACCAAGGGUUCCUGGGCCAGGUUAAUCCGCCCAGGGUGAGUCGGGACCUAAGGCGAGGCCGACAGGCGUAGUCGAUGGACAACGGGUUGAUAUUCCCGUACCCGUGUGAACGCGCCCCUGGUGAAUCAGUGAUGCUAAGCGCCCUGAAGCCGCCUUCGAACCUUCGGGUUCUCCGGUGUGUGGAUGCGCGUGAACCGAUCUGGUAGUAGCCAAGCGAUGGGGUGACGCAGGAAGGUAGCUGAGCCAGUCAGUGGUAAUACUGGUGUAAGCGUGUAGGGCGUGACCUAGGCAAAUCCGGGUCACAUACAGCCUGAGACGUGAUGCGUAGCCGAUUGAGGCGAAUUCAGUGAUCCUAUGCUGCCGAGAAAAGCCUCUAGCGAGCUUUCACACGGCCCGUACCCCAAACCGACACAGGUGGUCAGGUAGAGAAUACUAAGGCGAUCGAGAUAACUGUGGUUAAGGAACUCGGCAAAAUGCCCCCGUAACUUCGGGAGAAGGGGGGCCUCGUCUGGUGACGGAACUUGCUUCCUGAGCUGGGUGGGGCCGCAGAGACCAGAGAGAAGCGACUGUUUACUAAAAACACAGGUCCGUGCGAAGUCGUAAGACGAUGUAUACGGACUGACGCCUGCCCGGUGCUGGAAGGUUAAGAGGACCGGUUAGCCAGUAAUGGCGAAGCUGAGAAUUUAAGCCCCAGUAAACGGCGGUGGUAACUAUAACCAUCCUAAGGUAGCGAAAUUCCUUGUCGGGUAAGUUCCGACCUGCACGAAUGGCGUAACGACUUCUCUGCUGUCUCAACCACAGACUCGGCGAAAUUGCAUUACGAGUAAAGAUGCUCGUUACGCGCGGCAGGACGAAAAGACCCGGGACCUUCACUAUAGCUUGGUAUUGGUGUUCGGUUCGGUUUGUGUAGGAUAGGUGGGAGACUGUGAAGCGGGCACGCCAGUGUUCGUGGAGUCGUUGUUGAAAUACCACUCUGAUCGUAUUGGACAUCUAACCUCGGACCAUGAUCUGGUUCAGGGACAGUGCUGGUGGGUAGUUUACUGGGGCGGUGCCUCCCAAAUGUAACGGAGGCGCCCAA
rnacentral:rRNA from 1 species